rnacentral:lncRNA from 1 species
UCUCUCUUGCUCAAUGACACUCAACUGUCCCCCUCUACACUGAAUAUCCUGUCUGACCUUUACAGAAAAUCUCAUCUCUUGCUAAAACAGCUUCUAUGAAGUUAGACGUUCUGAGGCAACUCAUUCAGUUUCUGUCACCCACCCAACUGCUAACUCUGUACAAGAGCCUUAUCUGUCUAUGUAUGGAGUAUUCUUUGCAUGUGUCAGGGGGGGUUCCAUUCAUAGUUUUCUUAUAUAAGGUGGAAUCAAAAGAUUUUUGUCUUAUCAAUUCCUCUGGUCUAACUGACUGUCUUCAGCUUCUUUCUCACUGCCACAAUGUUGCAUCUCUUGCUAUCUUCCAUCAUAAUUUUAAUGCCAACUGUUUUUCUGAACUUUUUAACUGUAUGUGUCCCCUUCUCCCAUGGUCUCACAGCACAAGACUUUCAUUUCCUCUUACUGAUAUUCUGUCCACCUCUCUAAUGCAAGAGUUAACCAGUAGGGGAGAGUGGGGCACGUUGAACAUAGGGGCACAUUGAACCAUUGGAUUUUUCAGGAAUAGUUUGUCUCCCAAUCAGCAGAUGUCUCUUGUGUACAACGCUCUUCAGAAGCUCCACUCAAGCACCAGUUGAGUGGCAGCCUUCAUUGAGGGAGGACGUGCUGGUUUUUUUUUUUUUUAAUAUUUGACCUACUUUGUUCAUCUGUUGAGGUAAGUACCAAACCUUCUAACACUUUCCACAUAACUGAUGCUUAUGAUCAAAUUAUUCGAGUGAGUUACGUGGUAAGUGAAGUUUAUUACAGGAUACCAAACAAAUUUGAAUUCAACUUUGCUAUUCUCUGAAACACAUGUUUUUGUAAUGGCUGGAAAUGGGGCACUUUGAACCAUUAAAAUAGGGGCACAUUGAAAUAUGGUUCAAUGUGCCCCACAAUACUGUUCAAUGUACCCCAUAGCAUUGUAAUUGAUUUGUUCUUAUUUAUAGGCCUACUGUUAUGAUUUUCAUUAUUAUUAUUAUUAUUGUUAUUAUUAUUGAAAAUUAUUAUUAUUAUUAUUAAUUAUUAUUAUUAUUAUUAUUAUUAUUAUUAUUAUUAGGUAAUGUUCUAGUUGUUGUACAUACUGACUAUUAAUAGAAAAUAAUAGGCUAAGUGGUUCCUAAUGUUUAACAUCUAAUGAAUGAGCUUGAUGUUGUUUUCAUUUCAGGAAAUGGUGCGAAAGUAUCUUGCAAAAACUGAUCGAGGAAGAGCCGAUGGGAACUUAAUGGAGAGAGCUGUUGACGAAGUUGUCAAAGGAAAGUCCAUCAGGGAAGUUAGUCGUUUGCUGGAUGUAAACCGGAUUACAUUGUCAAGAUAUGUUAAGAAAUUCCAAGCAGGGCAAGCUGAAAAAACAAAAGACUAUGCUCCUAACUACAAUACCAGACAAGUAUUUACUGAAGAAGAAGAAGACGGACUUUCUGAAUAUAUCGUAACUUGCUCCCAGUUGUUUCAUGGCCUUGGCUUGACAGCAGUAAGACGACUUGCAUUUGAAUAUGCAAUGAAGAGAGAUAAAACUUGCCCAGAUUCUUGGAAACAUAACUGUAUGGCAGGAAAGGACUGGAUGGCUGGAUUUAUGAAGAGAAGUUACAAAAGUUACGAAAAGCACAGAAAAAAAUAGUUGUUGAGGAUGAAAGUUCAGAUGAUGAAGUGGAAAACAUAUCAAUGCAUGGGGAAUCAAGUGAAUAUGAAGAGGAUUUUGCUGAUGAUCAGACAGAUGAUCAGUCAAGAAAAGACCCAGAGGAUGAAGACUAUGUUCUUAUCAAAUUGAAGCUUGAAAAUUCAGAGAAUAAAUGGGUAUUUUAUGUUGGCCAAAUAAAAGAAAGGAUUAAGGAUGAAGAAGAAACAUGUUAUGAUGUUGAUUUUACCGACAGUCUAAGAAGUUACCUGGAAGGUUCGUCAAACCAGCUAAUGAGGAUAGAGCAAAAGUCAUGAAAAAUGAAAUAGUUAUGUGUCUGCCCAAACCUAUCACUACUGGUGGUACCAAGCGAGUGCAGUCAAUGUUGAAGUUUCCUCUAAACUUGGAGGAAUAUAAAUGUCACUAGAUUUCUUUUAUAUAAUUUCUUGAAGAUUUAGUUGUCUUUAGCACUUACAAUUAUGUGAUAUGACUAGUCCAGUCAGGUAGGCAAGUGCGGCUUACAUUAUGAGUCAUUCAUACCAAGAAGAGUAUUAGAUUUAUUUGUCUUAGCACUUAUUAUUUUGUGAUACUAGUCCAGUCAGGUAGGCAAAUGCUGCUUACAUUAUGAGUCAUUCAUACCAAGGAGAGUAGGUAUUAUAGCGUUUAUUUUACAUGUUUACCUUCUACAUUAAGCAUGCCAUGUACGAUUAUAAUAAAAAGGAACUUUAUAUUUUGUAUACAUCAAAAGAGGGAGAAAAUAUGUGUAUUCUGAAUGAAUUAUUAAAAUAUUUUUAUUUCUAGA